rnacentral:rRNA from 1 species
AACGUAGGACACGAGCGUUAUCCGGAGUUACUGGGCGUAAAGGGCGUGCAGGCGGUUUUGUAAGUUUGAUGUGAAAGCGCCCGGCUUAACCGGGCGAGGACAUUGGAGACUGCAAGACUAGAGGCAGAUAGAGGGGUGUAGAAUUCCCGGUGUAGUGGUGAAAUGCGUAGAUAUCGGGAGGAACACCAGUGGCGAAGGCGACUACCUGGCCUGUUCUUGACGCUGAGGCGCGAAAGCUAGGGGAGCAAACGGG